CAAAAGUUCAAUAAUGGUUUAUAUUUUAUUCUCUUUUAUGUCAUUAACUAAAAUACGUACGUGUUGUUUUUACAACAAUUUAUGCGCCCUCAUAAAAGUGGUGGCCAUGAUCAGGGUGUUGCAGGUACUUUAGGUGAUGACGAUUUUCUUGGAUUAUCACUUUGAAUACCCAAAACACAUCAUACUUGAUACUGUCAAUGUUCAUAAUAAAGAGGUUAGCCCCACUUGUAUUGCCGAUUGCAAUGUCGGCAACACGUAGCAUGCAGACAUCCUCUACUACGCGUCAUAUUGGCCUACCCACUAUUGGAGGAGAUGCACAUGAGGAUGCCUCAGAGGCGACUACUACUGAUAACAUACCAUCAUUUCCUGGAUCUUCAUGUAUUGAUAGUAUGGGAAUGUUGCAGGCCACAUUGGUGGAAAUGAUAUUUUUUAUAAACAUCUUAGUGACAUUGCAUUGCAGAUAUUUGGGCCCACCAUACGUAAAAGGUGGAAUGACCAAGAAAAAAGGUUAAAAGAUGAAUUGACAAGCCAAAUGGUUGAGUGGUUUGGAAAUGACACCUUUGACAAAACCAAGCUCCUUGAAAAAGUUGGCACAUAUCUAAAGUAUGUGAGGGACCAAUACAGGACCCAUUUAGAGAAGAACUUGAAAUACGAGCGCCCCCCCAUGAUUCCAGAGAGGGAACGGAAGGACCUGAUUUUAGAUGUCAAUGAGAGAAUUGAAAGGAAAAAAAGGAAAUACACCACUAGACGCCAAAAAGAAGACUGAGUGACACGUCAAAGGCAACCAAGGAAAGACAAGAAAAGCACGGGCAACACAAACUCGGCUCUGGUGGUUAUAUGAAACUUGCUGCACGAAUUGGCUCUAAAUUCAAUAGAGCGCCCACAGAAGAUGACAAGAGAAUUGCCUACCAGCAAGGCUAUAUAGUCGUGGUUGAUCGGUUACGAGAAUUGAGUGGUCAUACACAAUAUUCGAGUGCAUCCGUCACACAGAGCAUGUAGUCAGUGGUGACCAAGUGGAGCAUGAUCUGGGUACAUAACCUCAGGAACGUGAUGUUCCCCAAUCAGAUGAUCUAGAGGGUGUUCAACAUGUUGAGGUUGAGGCUAGACAAAAUGAUGUGGCCCCAUUAGAUGACCCCCCUUCGCUUCAGUGUCCUCGUCCUCGGUAUAGAACAAGGAAUACGUCGAGAUCACGAACAGAGGGCAAAACAACUGCAGAGGGGAGAAAUGAUGAAGAAACCAAUGUUCCACUUAGUCUUUUCAUAGCUUCAAAGAAAAAACAAAAAAAGAAAUGAUUGUAA